rnacentral:tRNA from 1 species
AAGUAGUGAAGUAAAAUAUUACAUUUAGUUUCGACCUAAAAAUAGAGGUAUCUCCUUACUUU